GAGGGAGAUUUGACACAAAUACAGACAGACGAGGAGGCGACGAGACCACAGAGGCAGAUUGGAAUGAUGUGGCCAUGAACCAAGGGCUGCUGGUGGCCGCCAGGAGCUGGGAGAGGGUGACAGCUUGCUUGGUGGAGUAGGCCUUCUGCAGAAGCUGUUUCCUUAGGAGCCUCAGCCUCUCUGAGAGAAGAGAAGGCCAGGCUGGACCACAGAGCCCAGGGGAGGCUGCUGAGGGACCGGAAGCAAUACCCAGGGUCCAGUGAGGCCAAUGCUGGGGGUCAAGUGAGGCUGAGGGCCAAGGUGGGGCCCGGAGUCCAGUGAGAUGGAGGAUCAGCCACCAGUGAGAGGAGGCGUCGUUUGCCCGCUGCUGAGUGUGGUGAAAGCCUGGCAGACGGGGGCCUCCGAUGGCCAAGUCACCCCUCACCACCUGCUGCUCCAAGAGCCCGGGGUCUUCAUCUGUCCAGGGUCACCCCGGCCCUGCAAUUCUCAGGGCUUUCUUUUGUCCAGCGAGGAUACAGGAGAGUAGGGCCUUGGUCUCUCAGACCAGGCUUGGGCCAUCCCUGGAGCCUUGGCCCUACUCUCACUCAGCUGUGUACCUCAUCAUCUCACAGAUUAGAGCCAGGAAAAGGAAACCAGUGAGAC
rnacentral:lncRNA from 1 species